UGUGGGAGCGAGCCUGCUCGCGAUGACGGCGUGUCAGGCGACACAGGUGGUGACUGAUCCACCGCCAUCGCGAGCAGGCUCGCUCCCACA
rnacentral:misc_RNA from 1 species